rnacentral:rRNA from 1 species
UACAGGGGGUGCAAACGUUGCUCGGAAUCAUUGGGCGUAAAGCGCACGUAGGCGGUUCGUUAUGUCGGAUGUGAAAGCCCUUGGCUUAACCGAGGAAGUGCAUCCGAAACUGGCGAGCUAGAGUACGAAAGAGGAUCGCGGAAUUCCCGGUGUAGAGGUGAAAUUCGUAGAUAUCAGGAGGAACACCGGUGGCGAAGGCGGUUCUCUGGGAAUAUCCUGACGCUGAGGAGCGAAAGUGUGGGGAGCGAACAGG